rnacentral:rRNA from 1 species
GCUGAACGGGUGCGUACACGUGAACAAUUUAGCUCCGAGUGGGGAAUAGCUCGUCGAAAAGGCGAAUUAAUACCCCAUGGCGGUCGAGGUCCUCCUGGAUCUCGUACCAAAGUCAGGGAACGCAAGGGCUGAUCGCUUGGGAGUAGUGAGUUCGCGGCUAUCAGCUCAGUUCGGCUGAUGGUAACGGCUCACCAAGGCUAUACACGGGUAGCUGGUCUGAGAGGAUCGAUCAGCCACACUUGGAACUCGGGACACAGGGUCCCAGACCUCAUACGGGUGGCAGCCAGUUUCGAAUCAUUCACAAUGGGCGAAAGCCUGAUCGGUCGCGACGCCGCCGUGAGGGAUGAAGGUCUUCGGAUUGUAAACCUCUGUCACCGGGGCAACGAAACGUUUUGAGUUAACAGCUCAAAGCCUGACUUAACCCGGAGAGGAAGCAGUGGCUAACUCUGUGCCAGCAGCCGCGGUAAUACAGAGACUGCGAGCGUCAUUCGGAUUCACUGGGCGUCAAGGGUGCGCAGGUGGCUGGGUCGUGUGAGGCGUGAAAGCCCGAGGCUUAACCUCGGAAUUGCACCUCAAACUACACGGCUCAGAGCAUCCGGAGAGGGGAGCAGGAAUUCACGGUGUAGCAGUCGAAACUG